GUGGUAUACAAGAAUUUUAAGCUAUGAUUUCUUUCGGCAUGAGCAAGUCUGGCAUGAUCAGAGUCAGAAUAAUGUGUCCCGAGUAAGGUUAUUUGUGUCUUCCUUCGGACUUUUACCUUGUGAACUAGCACGUUAAAAAUCCGGCUCGUCGGCGGUCUUGAAAUUAACAGGAUUCAUACUUCUAUCUCAUUACCAUGUUCUCGUCCCGAUAUGCAUGUAAUAUUUCCCACUGGACGUUAAACACCAAUCCGUCAUCAUCUUCUAUUGAAUGGAAUUAAAAU
rnacentral:lncRNA from 1 species